rnacentral:rRNA from 1 species
AAACCAACCGGGAUUGCCUUAGUAACGGCGAGUGAAGCGGCAAAAGCUCAAAUUUGAAAUCUGGUACCUUCGGUGCCCGAGUUGUAAUUUGGAGAGGGCAACUUUGGGGCCGUUCCUUGUCUAUGUUCCUUGGAACAGGACGUCAUAGAGGGUGAGAAUCCCGUGUGGCGAGGAGUGCGGUUCUUUGUAAAGUGCCUUCGAAGAGUCGAGUUGUUUGGGAAUGCAGCUCUAAGUGGGUGGUAAAUUCCAUCUAAAGCUAAAUAUUGGCGAGAGACCGAUAGCGAACAAGUACAGUGAUGGAAAGAUGAAAAGAACUUUGAAAAGAGAGUGAAAAAGUACGUGAAAUUGUUGAAAGGGAAGGGCAUUUGAUCAGACAUGGUGUUUUGUGCCCUCUGCUCCUUGUGGGUAGGGGAAUCUCGCAUUUCACUGGGCCAGCAUCAGUUUUGGUGGCAGGAUAAAUCCAUAGGAAUGUAGCUUGCCUCGGUAAGUAUUAUAGCCUGUGGGAAUACUGCCAGCUGGGACUGAGGACUGCGAUGUAAGUCAAGGAUGCUGGCAUAAUGGUUAUAUGCCGCCCGUCUUGAAACACGGACC